rnacentral:misc_RNA from 1 species
AACCAUAGAAACCUGCGGAGUACCUGCGGAAGGAUCAUCAGUGUGAUCUGGGUGUGCAUGGGAUCAGUGAUCUCGUGCGCCCCACCAAUCUUUUGUGCACGGUUUCACGGUCAACGAGGCGUUGUGUGUGUGUUGGCAAGCGCGUCCCCUGGUGGGAACUUGCCAACCGCAUGCGUGCGUUCUCUCUGAAAUCUCUGAUGCAAUCUCUGUCUAACGUGUUACCACGCAAUCAAUACAACU